GAUGAACGCUGGCGGCGUGCCUAAUACAUGCAAGUCGAGCGAACGGACGAGAAGCUUGCUUCUCUGAUGUUAGCGGCGGACGGGUGAGUAACACGUGGAUAACCUACCUAUAAGACUGGGAUAACUUCGGGAAACCGGAGCUAAUACCGGAUAAUAUUUUGAACCGCAUGGUUCAAAAGUGAAAGACGGUCUUGCUGUCACUUAUAGAUGGAUCCGCGCUGCAUUAGCUAGUUGGUAAGGUAACGGCUUACCAAGGCAACGAUGCAUAGCCGACCUGAGAGGGUGAUCGGCCACACUAGAACUGAGACACGGUCCAGACUCCUACGGGAGGCAGCAGUAGGGAAUCUUCCGACAUGGGCGAAAACCUGACGGAGCAACGCCGCGUGAGUGAUGAAGGUCUUCGGAUCGUAAAACUCUGUUAUUAGGGAAGAACAUAUGUGUAAGUAACUGUGCACAUCUUGACGGUACCUAAUCAGAAAGCCACGGCUAACUACGUG
rnacentral:rRNA from 1 species